AAGAGCCCCGCCAGCCAUAGUGCCCCUAGUCACGCCCUGCACGUGGGGGCUGGCUCUGUGGAUGGUGGAGCUCAGA
ensembl:miRNA